rnacentral:piRNA from 1 species
UAGCUUAUCACUUGAGAUUCCAUCUCUGA